CCUACGGAUGCAGCAGUGGGGAAUAUUGCACAAUGGGCGCAAGCCUGAUACAGCCAUGCCGCGUGUAUGAAGAAGGCCUUUGGGUUGUAAAGUACUUUCAGCGGGGAGGAAGGUGUUGUGGUUAAUAACCACAACAAUUGACGUUACCCGCAGAAGAAGCACCGGCUAACUCCGUGCCAGCAGCCGCGGUAAUACGGAGGGUGCAGGCGUUAAUCGGAAUUACUGGGCGUAAAGCGCACGCAGGCGGUCUGUCAAGUCGGAUGUGAAAUCCCCGGGCUCAACCUGGGAACUGCAUUCGAAACUGGCAGGCUAGAGUCUUGUAGAGGGGGGUAGAAUUCCAGGUGUAGCGGUGAAAUGCGUAGAGAUCUGGAGGAAUACCGGUGGCGAGGGCGGCCCCCUGGACAAAGACUGACGCUCAGGUGCGAAAGCGUGGGGAGCAAACAGGAUUAGAUACCCCAGUAGUC
rnacentral:rRNA from 1 species